rnacentral:lncRNA from 1 species
GAGAGAAACAAAAGGCAACAUCAGACCAAUAGUUAGGGAAAAGGAUGAAGCAACAAAACUAUAUUUUUUUUACUGUAUUCCUUUUCUUUCCCUAAAGGGAUUGCCCAUCAGAUCAAUAGUUUGGAAUCUUCAGAAGGUUUUAUGUUCAAAGAGCUGCUCCCCGUUACGUAGUUCAAUUAAUGUAUACUCCCUAAAAAAUAAGUACCUUAUUACCUAGUUCGAUUAAGAGCUGCUCCUUGUUAAGUAGUUCGAUUAAGGUAUAGUCCCCCAAAAAUAAGUACCUUAUUUUCUUACAAUAGUGCCUGCUAAGCAUGUAACAAGAGUUGUAGCAGAAAGUUCCUCGCGCAUAUCCAAUACCCAUGCAAAAUUUGUGUUUUCAAUAUUGGCUCAUAAAUAACUAGGAGGGUUCAGGAGACCCUAAAUGCCCAACAGCUAAGAGACUGGAAAAGUGGGAUGUCUAGUCACAUGCAUUGACCAAAUCUAGCGACUCCCAUAAGUUAAUGUGUUAAAUUACUAUGUUCCCUCAGCUAGCAAUCAACUAUGCCUCUUUAUUAUGCAGAAGUUUUCAUCUCUCAAAAAUGGAGGCCGCAGAGUGCAGAAAAAAAAUAGAAUACUAUAUCCUCAUCCAUGUUGUUAGUUACAGAGUGUCAAGGGGCACAUGUUCCCAGGUGAAUACACUUUUAAAACCUUAAGCAAGAUCAACCUAUGAGCACAUGAAGAGCGAGGUGCACUGUGAGUUAAGAAGACAUUGCAUACAAAAAAGUAAAAUGAAAAAUAACAAAGACGAGGAAAUAAAAAAGUCUAGAUAGCUAGAAACUGCAGAAGACAUUCGAGCUAAAUCCAUUUCCUUACUGUUGCCAACAUCAAUACAUGAUUGAGUAUAUUUUGCGAGCACAACAAAGAAGUAAUACAAUGCUACCUUUCUAUUUUAUGUGGUUACAUAUUGCUUACCAUUAGAUAACGCAAUUAAGAAAACUUAAGGCUACAUUCGGUUCUGCAGGUUGUAACUACAACUAUCACAAGAAUCUACUUAAACUCUUUCUAAAUUAAUCUGACAUCUCUACUUCAAUUGAAGUAAACAAGGUGUGCAUUGAGCUAAUUGGUUAUAUAAAUGCUAUGAAAACGUUUCAGCUUUUUUUCUAAUUGCUCUAAUUUGUUAAUUUAUUUCUUCUAUAUAUCCUCAGACAUUUUUUUAACAAAAGACAAAUGUGUCCAGGUCUUACUUAGUCUUGUAAAUGUGACUACACUUUUAUCAACAUUGGUUAUCUUUCACUAAUGAUGUGUGCUUCUAAUUUACUACAUGAUAAAAAAAAAUUAACACUUCCAACCAACAAUGUCAGAUGUUCAUAUUGAAAGGACACCACUCAAUUUGUGAAAUCCUACAAAGGAGUGGGCGAUGGAUUUAGUCCCACAUCAGAGAAAAAAGAAAUUUAUAGGAUUUAAAUAAUCUAGCUCAAAACUACAAAAUAAAUCGGGUUAACAAUCUUGGCCAAUGGUUUGAAAUACAAAGUUAAUUUGGCCAAUUAGAGUUGGACUAUGACAUUUAAUAUUAGAGUUACUCUAUAUUGUGUGGAGUUGGUAGGCUUAUGAGGAAAAGGUUAACUGUGCAAGAGAUGAGAUAAGCAGCCUAAGACACCAGAACAUAAUAAUACCCAAGGGUCUGGUCCAAACUUGACUAAUAUAGCACAUUAAGAGACAAGGUGAAACCACCCAAGAUACCAUUAAAUCACAAUACCCAAGGGUUUAGUUUCAACUUAGCAAUUAUACCCCAUAUAGCACAAUAGAAUUACAAAGCAGACAUCACAAAAUUUCUUGUGAAAGAUUGUGACAUCCCACAAAGUGAUAGGCAGUUGGAUUUAGUUCCAUCCAUGUGGGAGAAGCAAAGGAAUUUCAUAAGAAUUAUAUAGCCUAGUUCAAGCUAUUGAAAUAACUUAGUUAAACAUUUUGGUUGGAGAUUUUGGAGCCAAAAGUUAUUUAGAAUAAGUAUAUGGACCCUCUUUCUUCAUGCUACUCGGUUUAGGACUACGUUCGUGUUAAGAUAUUCAGCUGUCCACCAUCUAAAUCUUGUCUUUGUUGCUCUUAUAACUUACAUAUACUGACCCUCCAUUGUGAUGUAUAUAUGUAUGCUCAUGACACCACAAAAGGUAAGGAACUGAAAGUCACGCUACAAAUUGCUAGCCAAGAAAUAGGUUCAUUUACUUCCACAAGGCAUCCUUUCAAAUUGGAUAACACAGCAAUGCAUUAUUUGCAUCGUUCAGAGAUUGUAUAAAACAAGAAGCAGAAAA